UACGUAGGUGUCAAGCGUUGUCCGGAUUUAUUGGGCGUAAAGCGCCCGCAGGCGGCUUGCCAAGUCUGACGUGAAAUCUCCCGGCUCAACUGGGAGGGUGCAUCGGAAACUGGCAGGCUUGAGGCAGGGAGAGGGAUGUGGAAUUCCGAGUGUAGAGGUGAAAUUCGUAGAUAUUCGGAGGAACACCAGUGGCGAAGGCGGCUCACUGGCUCGAUACUGACGCUGAGGUGCGAAAGCGUGGGGAGCAAACAGG
rnacentral:rRNA from 1 species